rnacentral:rRNA from 1 species
ACAAGCGGUGGAGCAUGUGGUUUAAUUCGAUGCAACGCGAAAACCUUACCUGCCCUUGACAUGUCAGGAAUCUUUCAGAGAUGAGAGAGUGCCUUCGGGAACCUGAACACAGGUGCUGCAUUGGCUGUCGUCAGCUCGUGUCGUGAGAUGUUGGGUUAAGUCCCGUAACGAGCGCAACCCUUAUCCCUAGUUGCCAUCAGGUAAAGCUGGGAACUCUGGGGAGACUGCCGGUGAUAAACCGGAGGAAGGCGGGGAUGACGUCAAGUCCUCAUGGCCUUUAUGACCAGGGCUACACACGUACUACAAUGGCCGGUACAAAGGGCAGCCACUUAGCGAUAAGGAGCCAAUCCCGUAAAGCCGGUCUCAGUCCGGAUUGGAGUCUGCAACUCGACUCCAUGAAGUUGGAAUCGCUAGUAAUCGCAGAUCAGCACGCUGCGGUGAAUACGUUCCCGGGCCUU